GAUGAACGCUGGCGGCGUGCCUAAUACAUGCAAGUCGAGCGAACAGACGAGGAGCUUGCUCCUUUGACGUUAGCGGCGGACGGGUGAGUAACACGUAGGUAACCUACCUAUAAGACUGGGAUAACUUCGGGAAACCGGAGCUAAUACCGGAUAAUAUUUCGAACCGCAUGGUUCGAUAGUGAAAGAUGGCUUUACUAUCACUUAUAGAUGGACCUGCGCCGUAUUAGCUAGUUGGUAAGGUAACGGCUUACCAAGGCAACGAUACGUAGCCGACCUGAGAGGGUGAUCGGCCACACUGGAACUGAGACACGGUCCAGACUCCUACGGGAGGCAGCAGUAGGGAAUCUUCCGCAAUGGGCGAAAGCCUGACGGAGCAACGCCGCGUGAGUGAUGAAGGUCUUCGGAUCGUAAAACUCUGUUAUUAGGGAAGAACAAACGUGUAAGUAACUGUGCACGUCUUGACGGUACCUAAUCAGAAAGCCACGGCUAACUACGUG
rnacentral:rRNA from 1 species